rfam:Dipodomys ordii contig_25159, whole genome shotgun sequence.
GGUGGCUCAGUGGGGUAGAGUGCUUGCCUUGCAUGCAUGAGACCCUGGGUUCGAUUCCUCAGCACCA